GCUUUUAAAAGAAAAUAGUUUUCCUCUAGUUUUAGGAUCCAACACCUCUUGGUACAGUCCAAGUAAAAGCC
rnacentral:tRNA from 1 species